rnacentral:rRNA from 1 species
UGCUCGCAGGUAUCCUAUAAGUAAGCAUACAGAUGGCGCACGGCAGCACGGGUGCGUAACACGUGGGUAAUCUGCCCUUCGAUGGGGAAUAACCUCGCGAAAGCGAGGCUAAUUCCGCAUAAUAUUCCUAAGACUUCGGUCCCUGGAUUCAAAGCCGUAAGACGUCGAUGGAGGAACCCGCGCACGAUUAGCUAGUUGGUGAGGUAACGGCUCACCAAGGCUAUGAUCGUUAGCUGGUCUGAGAGGAUGGCCAGCCACACUGGAACUGAGACACGGUCCAGACUCCUACGGGAGGCAGCAGUGGGGAAUCUUGCGCAAUGGGCGAAAGCCUGACGCAGCGACGCCGCGUGGAGGAUGAAGCAUUUCGGUGUGUAAACUCCUUUCGACUGGGACGAAUACCUCGCAAGAGGGGUGACGGUACCAGUAGAAGAAGCCCCGGCUAACUACGUGCCAGCAGCCGCGGUAAGACGUAGGGGGCCAGCGUUGUUCGGAAUUACUGGGUGUAAAGGGUUCGUAGGCGGUGUGGCAAGUUGGGAGUGAAAUCUCUGGGCUUAACCCAGAGGCUGCUUCCAAAACUGCUGUGCUUGAGUGUGGGAGAGGUGCGUGGAAUUGCAGGUGUAGCGGUGAAAUGCGUAGAUAUCUGCAGGAACACCCGUGGCGAAAGCGGCGCACUGGACCACAACUGACGCUGAGGAACGAAAGCUAGGGGAGCAAACAGGAUUAGAUACCCUGGUAGUCCUAGCCCUAAACGAUCAGGACUUGGGGUGGCUCACGUUCGUGAGUCGUCCCGGAGCUAACGCGUUUAAGUCCUGCACCUGGGGAGUACGGUCGCAAGACUGAAACUCAAAGGAAUUGACGGGGGCCCGCACAAGCGGUGGAACAUGUGGUUCAAUUCGACGCUACGCGAGGAAC